AACGAACGCUGGCGGCAUGCCUAACACAUGCAAGUCGAACGGGAUCCUGGCUUCGGCCAGGUGAGAGUGGCGGACGGGUGAGUAACGCGUGGGAACCUGCCCAUUGGUCUGGGAUAACUGCGGGAAACUGCAGCUAAUACCGGAUGUACCCGUGAGGGGAAAGAUUUAUCGCCGAUGGAGGGGCCCGCGUCAGAUUAGGUAGUUGGUGAGGUGACGGCUCACCAAGCCUACGAUCUGUAGCUGGUCUGAGAGGAUGAUCAGCCACACUGGGACUGAGAUACGGCCCAGACUCCUACGGAGGCAGCAGUGGGAAUAUUGGACAUAGGGGCAACCCUGGAUCCAGCAAUG
rnacentral:rRNA from 1 species